GCACUGCUGUGGAGUCCUACAAUAGGAUGAAACGGCCGUCCAGUGU
rnacentral:hammerhead_ribozyme from 1 species